AAUAGCUUGUAUGGGAGUUUUGUCUCCUCCCCUGCCCUGCGCAUUCACCUUUUCCAUAAGGUCAUAUUCAGAGAACGAGGAGAGGAACUGGCCUGAGCCUGGAAGCACUAGCAAUACAUUUCGUUAUUCCUGUUUGAUGUGGUCAAGAUCUGCAUCAGUUCUGUCAGUCACCAAUGAGCAAGAAUCACUCUCAUUCUGUAUUAUGGCCUCUGGCGACAGAAGCUCUGGAAAAGUUUCUUGUGAUCUUCUUGAGCCUCUUGGGAUUAUUCCUUGACUUCUUGCAGCACCUUAUAAUUGUUCAAGUCCAGGUUUGAACAGGCACCCCUGGGCAAACUCACCAUGACACAACUAACUCUUGUGCUACCGAGCACUGAGUUUUGCUCAAAGUCCUUUGAAACAUCUCUACUUUGAGGCCCUAGUUAGGGUUCAAAUGGCUUAGUAAUGUAGUCACAAGUACUGGCAGAAAGAGAAAUUCCCUCUGAGCUCUGAGCUCCAAAUAAUUUUCUGAGACCCUUACAUAUUUUUCUAAAAGGUUUUAUCAGUGCCUCAUUUGUUCCAACUUCAACCAGUAGUCAGAGAGCAUCACGCAGGUGUGACUCUGGUUAGCUUUAUCUGACAUAUGGCAUCAGUGUGGACUGUCUCUCUGCAUGUUUUAUUUUAUUUUAUCCCCUUAAGCCUGCCAUUGCUUUAUUUUUUCCCUAUGUUUUUUGUUCCUUUCGGAUCCCCUUGUUUUCUGAUAAAUAUUUUCCUUUUCCCUUUGGAUUGCCUUGUAAAAAUAGAUCACCAAAUGAAAGUAUCACAGAGUAGAUAGUUAAUUGUACUAAAUUGACAGCCUUAUCUACUUGUGUGUUAUCAUUACUGUUGUUAUGUUUAGACAGGACAUAAUUUCUUUCAUCUUUUGAAACCCUCAGGAGCACUUAGGAGAACUUAUAUUGCUGAUGCAGGCUUGUGUAGAAGGAGAAAGAAAACUCUGUCUGCUACACUGUGAUUUUGGCCACAGCCCACAGCAAAAGGCAGCACAAAACUGCACCAUCCCAUGGAGGAAAUCUGGGCUGGAUACCACACACCACUGCUCCCUGAAAGGACACCUAGGAACUAAAAUAGUGCCUUCAAAAAAAAUUUUGAACUGCCUCGGCUCUCAGCAAGUAUCAGUGCCAGUUUCAUCAUUGAUGCCCCUCCAGCUCUUUUCUCUGCAGUUUUGCAAAAACAUGACUAACAGAGUUCAGAUCUUCUUUGUUGCUUCUCUGUGAAAACUCCAAUUCUGUAAUAAUAAAGCUUAAAACCAAGAAGGUUAACUUUUGUGUUCCAGUUUUUGUAUAAUAUUGUUUGAUCAAGUAAACACAAUUAGCCAGUUAAGAACAAAGAAACACAUGAAGGUCAUGCCGAAGCAAGUUGCUAUGUCUACCAUCAGAUUAGGAUCAGAUUAAGUGAGACUGAACUGGCAUUUGCUGUUCCUAUUAGAUUUAAUUCUGGCCAGUCAUGAGGAAUUAUUUUAGGAAGUAAUAGGAUUAACUAAGCAAAAACCAAGAUGCAGCAUUCACUUUCUUUACUAAAAUAGACGUGUUCUUAAAAAGCUUAUCAGCCUUUUAUUAUUCAUUCAUAGUUAUGACUGGUUCUAUUAGCAGAUGCUUGUGGCAAGAAUAUAAAAAACAGAAUAAACAAGGCAGAGCACAACUUGCAUAGCCGUAUUUGGAAAUGUUCUUAGCUAACUAGAUUUGUCUGAC
rnacentral:lncRNA from 1 species